AUUUACAAGGUCCUCAUCAUGAAAUGCAGCUGGAUCAACCUCAUCUUGAUGGCAUUAGCUUCAGGGGUCUACUCAGAAGUACAGCUGCAGCAGUCUGGGCCCGAGCUUCGGAGACCUGGGUCCUCAGUCAAGUUGUCUUGUAAGGCUUCUGGUUACACCUUUACAGAUUACCUUAUGCACUGGGUAAAGCAUAGGCCAGAACACGGCCUGGAAUGGAUAGGAUGGAUUGAUCCUGAGGAUGGUGAAACAAAAUAUGCUCAGAAGUUCCAAAGCAAGGCCACACUGACUGCAGAUACAUCCUCCAACACAGCCUACAUGCAACUCAGCAGCCGGACGUCUGAGGACACAGCAACCUAUUUUUGUGCUAGACACAAUGUUACUUUUUACUAUGUUUAUUUAUGGGACUUGAAUUACUGA